rnacentral:rRNA from 1 species
UCUAAUACUUCAUAAUAUCCAUCUCGUAUGGAUUAAAGCUUUAUGCGCUUUGGGAGGGGCCUGCGUAACAUUAGCUUGUUGGUGAGGUAAAAGCUCACCAAGGGCUUCGAUGUUUAACUGGUUUGAGAGGAUGACCAGUCACACUGGGACUGAGAUACGGCCCAGACUCCUACGGGAGGCAGCAGUAAGGAAUCUUCCACAAUGGGGCAACCCUGAUGGAGCAAUACCGCGUGCAGGAUGAAGCGCUUCGGCGUGUAAACUGCUUUUAUCACCGAAGAUUAUGACUGUAGGUGAAGAAUAAGGACCGGCUAACUACGUG